AGUUCGUCCAAUGGUUGGGAGAGGAGCCCAUAUCCCAUUACUUAUUUUUAUUAGGGUUUCACUCUCCAGCCGUCAACCUUGCCCUCACCCCUCUUUAUCCUCUCUCUCUCUCUCUCAAUCUCUCUGUCUCAUUUCCUCACUCAAUCUCAUCUCGACGGUAUUUCUACUUCUCACUCUUCAGGAUUUAUCUUCACUGAAAAAAUUGGGCAUUUCUACUUCUCUCUUAUUUUGUGCUUAAUUCGGACGAUGAAGGACGCUAAUCUUAAGAACAACGAUUCCGGAGAAAGAGGUGGCUUCAUUCCCAAUAACAAAAUGAACAACAACAACAGUUAGAUUAAGAUGAAGAAAUAUAUGCAAAGAUUGGGAGGCACUGGUCUUUCUCUUGAAGCAUUUGCCGAUGCUAAAUCAAGAAAAAUUCCUAUAAUCCUGCUUUGUUAAGCUGGAUAUCGUGAUGGUUUAUCGAAUGGAAAAAUGUUGUUGCACAAGAGGGUUUUAAUCAGGGUUUCAAGGAUUCCGUGAUGAUGGGUAACAAGUGGGGCAUUGUUAGGGGUGUUACCAGCUACACUAGCUAGCAGUGUAUGAAAACAAGCCGCUUUUUUUCAAAGAGCUCAAGAAAAUUUGGCAGACCUCAACAGCUCCUUCAAAAGCAGGGGUUCUGUUUUCUUAAUUACACACUUUGCUGAUAGAUGAUGAGCCUUACAAAGGCCUUCUGAAUCCGGUCAGGGGGACAAGGAAGGAGAUACUCCAUAACUAGGAAAUACCAAAGCUUCUUUUAAGGAGAUAGCACUAAUGCUAGGUCAAGAAUUUUUUUAAAUUUUCUAGGAGAUAAUUACGAAGUACAUUACGGUAAAGUGAUUUGGAGAUAGUGAAACUUUGGAUUUUUUCAGGCGAUAUGAAAAUUUGGGCAUUGAUCGAUGCUAAAGUGAUUUGGUUGCUGCUGGCCUGCUGCUCGUAAUUAGUUGCUGCUGCGCUUAGCUGUUGUUCUUAGCUGCCGUUUUUCUACUGCUCUUUAGUUGCUGGGUUCUUGGUUGCUACUGAUGCUUUUGGGUGCUGCUGCAGUGUUGCUGGUGGUGUUUCCUGUUUAUUAUUAUUAUUUUUAAUUAUCAACAUUUUUAAUCAUACAUUGUGAUGGGUUUAUGAGCAGUUCUAGAGAUAUAAUAUUGUAUUUAGUGUAUGUGUUAUAUUUGAAUUUAUGUUUUUGGAAUUAAAACCAAUAUAUAUCAAGUGUAAAUAUAAAUGUAUCAUAUUAUUUGAUAUAA